AUUGAACGCUGGCGGCAGGCUUAACACAUGCAAGUCGAGCGGGGGAGGUUGCUUCGGUAACUGACCUAGCGGCGGACGGGUGAGUAAUGCUUAGGAAUCUGCCUAUUAGUGGGGGACAACAUUCCGAAAGGGAUGCUAAUACCGCAUACGCCCUACGGGGGAAAGCAGGGGAUCUUCGGACCUUGCGCUAAUAGAUGGGCCUAAGUCGGAUUAGCUAGUUGGUGGGGUAAAGGCCUACCAAGGCGACGAUCUGUAGCGGAUCUGAGAGGAUGAUCCGCCACACUGGGACUGAGACACGGCCCAGACUCCUACGGGAGGCAGCAGUGGGGAAUAUUGGACAAUGGGCGGAAGCCUGAUCCAGCCAUGCCGCGUGUGUGAAGAAGGCCUUUUGGUUGUAAAGCACUUUAAGCGAGGAGGAGGCUCUUAAGGUUAAUACCCUUGAUGAGUGGACGUUACUCGCAGAAUAAGCACCGGCUAACUCUGUGCCAGCCGCCGCAGUAAUAC
rnacentral:rRNA from 1 species